ACGUAGGGGGCAAGCGUUGUCCGGAAUUAUUGGGCGUAAAGGGCGCGCAGGCGGCCUCUUAAGUCUGAUGUGAAAUCUUGUGGCUUAACCACAAGCGGUCAUUGGAAACUGAGAAGCUUGAGUGCAGAAGAGGAGAGUGGAAUUCCACGUGUAGCGGUGAAAUGCGUAGAGAUGUGGAGGAACACCAGUGGCGAAGGCGACUCUCUGGUCUGUAACUGACGCUGAGGCGCGAAAGCGUGGGGAGCGAACAGGA
rnacentral:rRNA from 1 species